rnacentral:rRNA from 1 species
AGAGCGAACGCUGGCGGCGUGCUUAACACAUGCAAGUCGAACGAGGUCUGUAGCAAUACAGAUACUCGUGGCGAACGGGUGCGUAACACGUGGAUAACCUUCCUUCAGGUGGGGAAUAACCCAGUGAAAAUUGGGCUAAUACCGCAUAACAUGACGAUGCCACAUGGUGUUGUCUUCAAAGGCGCAAGUCGCCAGAAGAGGGAUCCGCGGCCGAUUAGCUAGUUGGCGAGGUAAUGGCUCACCAAGGCAAUGAUCGGUAGCCGGACUGAGAGGUUGGCCGGCCACACUGGAACUGAGACACGGUCCAGACUCCUACGGGAGGCAGCAGUGGGGAAUCUUGCACAAUGGACGAAAGUCUGAUGCAGCAACGCCGCGUGGGGAUGAAGCUUUUCGGAGUGUAAACCCCUUUCGACCCGGAAGAAGCCCGCGAAGGGUUUGACGGUACGGUAUAAGAAGCCCGGCUAACUACGCGCCAGCAGCCGCGGU